CCGUACCUCCCCAGCUAUCAACCUUCAACAACGCCAACCAGACUUUCACAGGAUCCUCCAGACUCCUCCAGCAGACGAACCUCCCUAACACCAUCCGAAGUCUAUUCUGUCGGCCGACCCUCUAUCGGAUUCCUCAUGAAAUCGGACUUUCCCAAUAGAAAAUCCCCAUCCAAGCUUCUACAACAGAUGACUUCCACCUGCAGCAACAACGCUCUAGGCACCCAACAAUAGUGGACUCAUCAGCAACCUCAAAAACAUCCAAGUUUC
rnacentral:lncRNA from 1 species